rnacentral:rRNA from 1 species
AUUGAACGCUGGCGGCAGGCCUAACACAUGCAAGUCGAACGAGUGGCGGACGGGUGAGUAAUGUCUGGUAAACUGCCUGAUGUAGUGGGAUAACUCCUGGAAACGGUAGCUAAUCCCGCAUACCAUCCUCUGUGCCCCGAUGGGAUUAGCUAGUAGGUGGGGUAACGGCUCACCUAGGCGACGAUCCCUCGCUGGUCUGAGCGGAUGACCAGCCACACUGGAACGGAGACACGGUCCAGACUCCUACGGGAGGCAGCAGUGGGGAAUAUUGGACAAUGGGCGCAAGCCAGAUGAAGCCAUGCCGCGUGUAUGAAGAAGGCCUUCGGGUUGUAAAGUACUUUAAGCGGGGAGGCGUUACCCGCAGAAGAAGCACCGGCUAACUCCGUGCCAGCAGCCGCGGUAAUUC